AUGCGCAUCCAUAUGCGUGGCCUCCUUUUGUGGGGUGUUCUCUCUGGCGAGGUCCCUUGUCCGCCAUGCCCUGUUGCACCAGUGGCCCCAAUCCCAUCAGUGCCGCCGGUUCUUGCUGCUGAUGCUUCUCAGGCUGACCGGGAUGCCGCCAAGACUCUAGAUGAUGCUGCAGUGGAUGCUUAUGAUCAACAGGUAUCUGCAUAUUCUGAUGCUCUUUCUGUCUACCGGGAUGAUCUGUCUGCUUAUACUCAGUGGUGCAAUGAUGAUGCUCGAGCUGCUGUUAUCCUCACUGCGAGUGUCCUCCCUCAGUUUGCUUCGGAGUUCAUGGGCCUCGGCACUGUUGCAGCGAUUUGGUCCUAUCUUUGUCAGCGUUAUCAGCCCUCUGGCGAUGCUCUAUACCUUUCUGUGGUGCGUCAGGAGCAUGCUCUUCAGCAGGGUGACUCGUCUGUUGAUGAGUUCUUUUCACAGUGCUCUGCCAUCUGGCGUCAGCUUGACUCACUGAGGACUGUUGUUUGUGGCACUUGCCGUUGCUGUCAGACUACGCGGUCUGACUUGGAGUUUCAGAGGGUUCAUGAGUUCUUAUUUCGUCUCCGCACCGAGUUUGAGCCCCGUCGGGCUCACUUGCUUGCUCAUGGUCGUGUUCCUAUCUCGGAGGUGCUUGCUGAGCUUCGUGCUGAGGAGACCCGUCUUCGCUCUGCUGGGUCAGUGUUGGCUACCCGGGCUCCUGUGUCAUCUGCUCGCCUCACUGCUCCACCACUCCUACCCACUCCUUCAGGGGGGUGA
rnacentral:rRNA from 1 species